rnacentral:rRNA from 1 species
GACGAACGCUGGCGGCGUGCCUAAUACAUGCAAGUCGAGCGCAGGAAAUCGACGGAACCCUUCGGGGGGAAGUCGAUGGAAUGAGCGGCGGACGGGUGAGUAACACGUAAAGAACCUGCCCUCAGGUCUGGGAUAACCACGAGAAAUCGGGGCUAAUACCGGAGGGGUCAUCGGACCGCAUGGUCCGAGGAUGAAAGGCGCUUCGGCGUCGCCUGGGGAUGGCUUUGCGGUGCAUUAGCUAGUUGGUGGGGUAAUGGCCCACCAAGGCGACGAUGCAUAGCCGACCUGAGAGGGUGAUCGGCCACACUGGGACUGAGACACGGCCCAGACUCCUACGGGAGGCAGCAGUAGGGAAUCUUCCACAAUGGACGAAAGUCUGAUGGAGCAACGCCGCGUGAACGAUGAAGGCCUUCGGGUCGUAAAGUUCUGUUGUAAGGGAAGAACAAGUGCCGCAGGCAAUGGCGGCACCUUGACGGAACCUUGCGAGAAAGCCACGGCUAACUACGUGCCAGCCGCCGCAGUAA